AGAAGACCCUCCCCAAACUCAUCUCAGAGAGUAAGUAGAGCUAAUAAAGAGUCACCAUGGAUCCCCUGAGGAUGGUGACAUGCAGAUGCCAGGCAACCACCAGCCCAAGUGCUAGGGACAGUAUACCUGCAUGCCAAGUGUGGGAUGAGCCAAAAGGGUCUCCCUGGUUUCUUCUAGGAGCCUAUAAUAAACAACACAUUAUUUGUUGUUAAAGAGCUUCAGAAUGGAAAAACUAAUGUGGCAUUUCAAAACAAAUAAGACAACUCUAUACAACAUAACCAGGAUGCCCACCAAAUACCUAAGUUACCCUUGUACCUACUCUCAGUGAAGUCAAGAUCUGGCCAUCAACAAGAAAAGGCAGGACAACAACUCAAGAAAAGUGGUUGCAGAGAGAUACAUCCAGAAGACACUAGAAGAUGGAUACAUCCAGAAGACACUAGAAGAUGGAUCCAUUCCAAGAAGUUUCAAUCCAUUUCUGAAGGUUUCCAGAACCUUCUGAAGCACAAAACAAACCAAAGUGAAGUUCCUAUGGAUGAGCCCUGAGGAGAGGCUGAGGUCCGAGCCAAAAUGGGGGAGCCCGGCCGAGUUCCUGGGAAUAAUUCAGAGAAAGUGGUAACAGUCAGCACACCUGGAAGUCAGCCCAGCCACUAGGACCUUGCGGAGGGCUCAACUCACCCCCCUCUUUCCUAAUGGGGCACAAUAAACAGGAACAUUUGUGUUCUCUUCACUUUCCCAUUUCAAAGAUUGUUGGAACCGGAAUACCUUCUAGAAAGAGGCGAGAGAACAAUGGGGUUGGCUCUGGGACAGAGUGAAGACAAAAAGAGACGUGGUUGCUCCUCAUUUCAGAGCCAUGCAGCAGAUACAAAACUUCACCCACCUCUAAGAUCCAGCGAGGAGCUGGUGGGGGGCUGGUGAGAGGAUCCACCAGAGAGAGUGGGGAGCAGAGCAGGCAGACCAACCGAAACACACUGACAAGGGGAGCAACAGGGUCCACAAUCAGUGUGGAGCAGGGGGCAGGACAGAAGAGGAAAGACCAAGAAACACGAGGGCAUCAAAGGGAAGAAAAAAAAAAGUCAUUUUAAGAGACAGUGUGAAUGUGGUGGAUCUCAGAGGCUCAAGGAGGUGGGGGAGAGCGAGUUGGAGGCCAGUGGGAUUCCCGGCCUGGGAGCUCAGCUCCUGCUCCCCGGGGGGUCUGGGCACAUCCCUGGCCACACGUGGACAAAAAGCCACAGGCCUAGUGGGGACCCCACACAGACUCAGCCAGAGCCUGACUUGUGUCCUCCGUGUAAGGGGAAGAGUCUGAGGGGAGUGAAGUCCCAGGGAUUAAAAAAAAACCCACACACACCACAUCGGUCGCUGACCUUGUUCUU